GGUGCUGUGGCAUAGCAGGUAAAGCUACUGCCUGCAGUGCCAACAUCCCUUAUGAACGCCGGUUCGAAUCCUGCCUGCUCCA
rnacentral:tRNA from 1 species